AUGCUUGUUUCAGCAGUACAUAUACUAAAAUUGGAAUGACACAAAGAAGAUUAGCAUGGCCCCUGUGCAAGGAUGACAUGCAAAAUUGUGAAGCAUUCCAUAUUUUU
rnacentral:snRNA from 1 species